rnacentral:rRNA from 1 species
GAUGAACGCUGGCGGCGUGCCUAAUACAUGCAAGUCGAGCGAACAGAUGAGGAGCUUGCUCCUCUGACGUUAGCGGCGGACGGGUGAGUAACACGUGGAUAACCUACCUAUAAGACUGGGAUAACUACGGGAAACCGGAGCUAAUACCGGAUAAUAUAUUGAACCGCAUGGUUCAAUAGUGAAAGACGGUUUUGCUGUCACUUAUAGAUGGAUCCGCGCCGCAUUAGCUAGUUGGUAAGGUAACGGCUUACCAAGGCAACGAUGCGUAGCCGACCUGAGAGGGUGAUCGGCCACACGGGAACUGAGACACGGUCCAGACUCCUACGGGAGGCAGCAGUAGGGAAUCUUCCGCAAUGGGCGAAAGCCUGACGGAGCAACGCCGCGUGAGUGAUGAAGGUCUUCGGAUCGUAAAACUCUGUUAUUAGGGAAGAACAAAUGUGUAAGUAACUAUGCACGUCUUGACGGUACCUAAUCAGAAAGCCACGGCUAACUACGUG